CCGGANNUCACUGCUAUUGGGGUUCGACUAAGCCAUGCGAGUCCAGAGUGGUAAUGCACUCGGCAAACGGCUCAGUAACACGUGGGUAAUCUGCCCUCAGGACAGGGAUAACCCCGGAAAACUGGGGAUAAUAUCUGAUAGGUGGAGAAGUCUGGAACGACUCUCCGCUCAAAUGCUCCGGCGCCUGAGGAUGAGCCUGCGACCGAUUAGGUUGUUGGCGGUGUAACGGACCACCAAGCCUGAGAUCGGUACGGGUGUUGAGAGACAGAGCCCGGAGAUGGGGACUGAGACACGGCCCCAGGCCCUACGGGGCGCAGCAGGCGCGAAAACUCCGCAAUACACGAAAGUGUGACGGGGGAACCCCAAGUGCGCUCACGCAAGUGAGUGCUUUUGUGAAGUGUAAAUAGCUUCGCGAAUAAAAGCGGGGUAAGACCGGUGCCAGCCGCCGCGGUAACACCGGCCGCUUGAGUGGUGAUCACUAUUAUUGGGCCUAAAGCGCCCGUAGCCGGUUCGGUAAGUCCUUGGGCAAAUCCUGUCGCUUAACGAUAGGAAUUCUGAGGAUACUGUCGGACUUGAGGUCGAGAGAGGUCGGAGGUACUCCUGGGGUAGCGGUGAAAUGCUAUAAUCCUGGGGGGANCACCAGUGGCGAAAGCGUCCGANCAGAGCGAGCCUGACGGUNAGGGACGAAAGCCAGGGGAGCGAACGGGNNUAGAUACCCCGGUAGUCCUGGNCGUAAACGCUGUGGGCUAGGUGNUGCAUGCUCUACGAGGGCAUGCAGUGCCGAAGAGAAGUUGAUAAGCCUACCGCCUGGGAAGUACUAUCGCAAGAUAGAAACUUAAAGGAAUUGGCGGGGGAGCACCACAAGGGGUGAAGUCUGCGGUUCAAUUGGAUUCAACGCCGGAAAUCUCACUGGAAGCGACGGCAGAAUGACAGCCAAGCUGAUGACUUUGCUUGACGAGCCGAGAGGAGGUGCAUGGCCGUCGUCAGCUCGUACCGUAAGGCGUCCUGUUAAGUCAGGCAACGAGCGAGACCCGUACCCUUAUUUGUCAGCUGAUCCCUACGGGGAUCAAGACCCAUUAAGGGGACCGCUGCUGAUAAAGCAGAGGAAGGAGCGGGCAACGAUAGGUCAGUAUGCCCCGAAUCUUCCAGGCUACACGCGGACUGCAAUGGCUAGUACAAUGGGCCCCAACUCCGAAAGGAGAAGGAAAUCCCGAAAGCUAGUCUUAGUUCGGAUUGUGGGCUGUAAUUCGCCCACAUGAAGCCGGAAUCCCUAGUAAUCGCGUCUCAUUAUGGCGCGGUGAAUACGUCCCUGCUCCUUGCACACACCGCCCGUCACACCACCCGAGUGAGGUUUAGAUGAGGCAAUAGCCCUAGGUUAUUGUCGAGUCUGGGUUUUACAAGGGGGGUGAAGUCGUAACAAGGUAACC
rnacentral:rRNA from 1 species